AUUUUUCCACAAAAUUUCCCGUUUGGUUUCACCAACUUCUCCCCCUAAUUUUGGGAAAAGUGUCUCAUCAAAUUGACAGUCUGCAAAUCGUGCAGUGACCAAAUCCCCUGUCAAUGUUUCGAGGUAGCGAAUAAUGGAGGGCGAUUCAAACCUAACAUAUAUUCCUAACCUUCUUUGUGGACCCAUUUUGGUGCGGUAUGUCGGUGCUACAGGCACAUAUACUGCGCAUCCAAAGAUUCUUAAAUAGGAUAUAUUAGGUUCAUGACCCAAAACCAAUUACAGCGGGGA
rnacentral:lncRNA from 1 species